UUCUCGUUCUUUUAUUUCUUUCCCAAACCUGCCGCGACUCUCCACCUUCCUUACGCGACUCUCUGCCCUCCUCGCCGCUCGAGUCUCCGCCGCCUCCUCACCGCUCGAGUCUCCGCCUCAUCUUUGCCACCUCUCUCUGUCCUCCUUGCCGCUCGAAUCUCCACCUUCUCCUCGCCAUGAAUCACCAGUUGCAGAGCAUUCCCACACAGGGGAACCAAAUGGUGGCCUAGCAAUUCACGCUGUUCGCCGACGACCCGAGGCUCGCGGAAAAAGCCGCGAGGUUCCCUUGCUUCGGCGUGAGGAAUCUCGCGGAGGCGGGAAAGCUGUCUAGGGUUUUGAGCAGCCAGUCUCUCAUGUCAGCCAACAAUGGAAAAAGGGUAACAAUAUCUGACGCGAUAAUGGAAAAGCCCAGAUUUAGCGGUAGGGUUUCAUACUCGUCUUUGCUAGGAGCUUCACCGAUGUCAGAUAGUUUGGUGAUGAUUGGUGCCAAGAGGAAUGGGAGGAAGCGGAAAGCGGCUCCAAAGUGCCAAGGAAAAAUCUCACCUUUGUCUUCCCCUAACAUGAAUCCUCCCAAGGAGGUAAUUUCUAGUACAAAGAAAUGCAAACUGCGCGAGGGCAUGAGCAGAACAUCAAUGGUAGCCGGAAACUGGGAGAAGAUGCCAAACCGUUUGAGCCGCCGAAGGAUUACAUCCAUAUCAUGGCAAGAAGAGGGCAAGCCACCGACAACCACAGCCUAGCUGAGAGGGAGAGAAAAGAUCAGUGAGAGAAUGAAGCUUCUCCAAAAUCUUGUGCCAGGUUGCAACAAGGUGGCAGGCAAGGCUGUUAUGCUCGAUGAGAUCAUCAACUACGUGUAGUGCUUGCAGUGGCAAGUUGAGGUGAGACCCUUGCUAUAAAUAGCAAUGGAAGAUGCAGUAUACGAUGCCCUUAUGUAUCCAUUCUUAUACAAUGACUACGGUCCUGUUGAGGCAGGGAGAAUGGUGGCAUGCACUGCUGCUUGUUUGUGCCAUGCUGCAGCUCUUCGCCCAAGCAUGAGUCAAGUAUUUUGCUCAAACUCUUUCUUGUUUCUCAUUCCAUUUAUUAAACUAGUCUUUCUGCUUGAUCUGUAUCAUUGUCUCCUAUGUUCUUGUGCAUCACUAGUUGUUUUCAUUUGAAGAUCAGACUACUGUUCAAUCUCCACCAGGAUCAUCAGCUGUCGAUACUUUGUUCCAAUCAGUACAUUGAGAACAACUUUGCUCGUGGUUCUAACUCCAUUAACAACAAAUCCUUAAAAACUCCAUGUGAAGAAACCAUUGAAAUUUAAGUUGCAAUCAAUUCAGAUGCCGUGAGAUUAUUAAUAUUCAUCAAGUUUUGUAAUAUUUAUUCAAAGAUAUUAUGUAAACAAUAAAAAUAUGGUUUUGGACAAUUCUGGGUGUAAUUAAUUGAAA